UCCACGUAGUUCUACAAUUUCUACAAAAAAAAAAAUCAACAGAACUCAAACAGGAUGACCAAAUUUUGCAAGACAAGUAGUUACAAAGAUAUCAUGCUAUUUCCAUAGCUCUUCCAUGUGAUUCUGUCAACUUCCAAACGUCCAGCGUUCCAAUUCCAUCACCAGUGAAAAAGAGACCUCCAGGACCCGUCUGAAUUGUUCUCACUUCGCUUUUCGAAAAAAUCCUGCCCCUCUCAAUGAAUGUUGGCAGUUCGUACAGGUAAACAGUAUUGUCACUGCAAGAGCAAAGCAAAAUUGGUUUUGCUUCUGCAUCAGGCAUCCCACAAAGAGCAAUAGCGCCAUGUUCCUCAUUAUGUGUGUAAAUCACGUCCAAGUUACCCUCUUCAGUAAAAGCCCAUGCUUUUAUUGUCUUGUCUAAUGAACAAGACAGUAGAUAUUGAUCCCAACAAAUAAGAGACGUUACAGCAUCAUUAUGACCACUCAAUGUAUGAACACACUGUAAAGUGUCGAGGUCCCACGCCCUUAUAGUAUUGUCCACAGAACCAGAGUAUAGCCUAUUUCUUCCAAUGGUCAAGCAUAUAACAGCACUGGUGUGACCUUUCAUAGAUGAGGCCAGUUCAAAAGGAUUUGGGUUCUUAGCACUCCCUUUCCAAGCCAAAAUGGCACCAUCCUGUGCCCCCGCAAAAAGCAUAUCAACAACAUCAGCUACAGCUAUAGCAUUAACUUGCCCAACUGGCCCAUCGAGAUUAAAUUCAGCAGCUGUCUCAAUGUUCCAUGCCUUAACAAUAUUUGGCAAGCCUACAAAUAUCCAGGGGCCUUCACUGAUUAAAGCCCCAAUUUUGACACCAACAUUUAUCACUCUUGUUGAUUGACCAGUAUUGCAAUCCCAAACAUGUACUGUUCCAUCACUACUACUCGAGAAAAGCUUGUCAGAUCUUGAUGGAAGAGCAAUCCCAGAGACAGCCUGUAUGUGCCCCUUGAGCUUUGCCAAUGUCGAAAACCAAUCCCCAUAAAACCAUGAAUGCAAGAACUGGCACCCAUCUUCUUUAUCACAUUUGUCUGACAUCCAGUUCUCACAUGCCGUUUUUGAACACUCAAUAGUUUUUUCUUCAGAAGCAUUGCCUUCAACAACCAGAACUGAUGAAUUAGAGGAUGGUUUUAUCUUCUCCAAAUUCAUUGCCUUAGUGCCAGAACUGGGGCUCUCACGAGUGCAUUUAUAUUCAGACCCACCACCUCCACCUCCACUAUUUGAAGCCAAAGAAUUCCCAGGAUUGGGGCGUUUCCUAGGUGGAUCCUUAAUAACAUGAUUGGUGCUAUUCUGAGCAGUUUUAACUUCAGAUCCAUCACUCAAUGCCAAUGAAUUUUUGAGGCCAUGGCUAGGGCUCCUAAUCGAUUGUUCNAGAUUGGGUUGCUCAGAUGUUCUUCGAUAAACAUUAGGAGGUGGCAAUUCUCUGUGCAUGAACCUACAGGGGUUCCUAUUACACUUUCCCAUCAUCCAGUAACGACAAACAACAUUGUUGCGCGCAGGUCCUCCUCCAAGUCGUGAAUGAAUGGUCGCAAUCUUCGCAUCCAUGCUGUGACCAACAAGCACAAUAGCAAGUGGAGAUUCUCCAUUCAUUUCCUUCAAUACAGCCAAAACAUCAUUGCACAUGGUCCCAAUGGAUAGGUCAAGAUCAUUUUCCGUGGAUGUUUUCCCAUGUCCUCUCAAGUC
rnacentral:misc_RNA from 1 species